rnacentral:rRNA from 1 species
UACGUAGGGGGCUAGCGUUGUCCGGAAUCAUUGGGCGUAAAGCGUGCGCAGGCGGUGAUGUAAGACAGUUGUGAAAUCCCCGGGCUCAACCUGGGAACUGCAUCUGUGACUGCAUUGCUGGAGUGCGGCAGAGGGGGAUGGAAUUCCGCGUGUAGCAGUGAAAUGCGUAGAUAUGCGGAGGAACACCGAUGGCGAAGGCAAUCCCCUGGGCCUGCACUGACGCUCAUGCACGAAAGCGUGGGGAGCAAACAGG